AAGCUUCUACCAUCAGAAGACAUCAGGACAAAAACCUGAAACCAAGGAGAAUAAAAUCUACAUCCGCAUCUAUGCAAGGUUAGUUUACACUUUCUUCUCACUGAAAUGUAGUUUAUAAACAUCUACAACAUUUUCAUUGAUGUUAAGCUAAGAUUAAUUGAGUAAAAAUGAGAAAACUAAAUGAUUGUGCAUCUGCUUGAUUGAUUGUACUUUAUUCAAUACAUAAAAAGAAAGACAUAACCAAAUAUGACGAAAGUAAGAGUGUUUAAAGAAGUCAAAUAUAGUUAGCACAAUAACUGGAAUUGAAAGUCGAUUGAUUGGUUGUUACUUUCUUUUGAACCAUGAGACAUUGAAUCUGUGAAAAGGUAAGUAGAUUGUUAGUCAAAUAUAUGAUUGAUUGACUGGGGGUUUUGCUUACCAUAAAGCAAUUAUAUUAUAAAAUAAAAUGGUAAACUAAACAUACCUUCUUUGAUAAGAUUGUUUGACAAAUAAUGCAAGAAGCAUUAUGAGUCAAUAUUCUGAAAAACUUCUUUGAAAACAACAUUAGUUGUUUGCUUUUGAAUCUUCCCUUCUUUGUCUAGAAUCAGAAUUUUCAAACCUGUCUUUGAGGUAACCCUAGAUAAAGCAACAUAUAGUUGCCCAUGAGAAAACACUGGCUUAGGCAGAUAGAGUCCAACCCUCUCUAGUGAUUGUCCCUGACUCUUGUUGAUAGUCAUGGCAAAUGCUAGUGAUACUGGGAACUGUCUUCUACGCAUCCGAAAAGGUAGCUUUGUAUCGGAUGGUGUAAUAUUGAUUAAUGAAAUCAAAACAAUAUCACGAAUUCUGUCUCCGGUUAUAACUCUUGCUUGAAGAACACGUGGGGUCAUCUGAGUUACCUGAAGCCGAGUACCGUUGCAUAGACCACCUUUAGGAUCAAUAUUCCUGAGUAACAUUAUUGGAGCACCAAUCUUCAGACGCAAAGCAUGGUGUGGCAAACCUGGUAGCCUGAUACUGUUUAAGAAAUCUGGUGUGAUAACAGGAUUUUUAAGUGAAUCGGAAUCUUCAGGAUCAAUACUAUCAGCACUGUAAAAAACUUGCUCAUCACCUGUUGAAAAAAUAAAAAAAACCUUUUAGCUGUAAGAAAGACUUGAAGGAAAUAAUUUCACAUAGCUAGUAAGCUAUGACUAACCCUCCAACUUGUCUAACAUAUAUUGGUUGAUUGUGUGUACAUCAUCAUUGGUUGGCGCCAGAAUUGCUCUCUUUUGAAAAAAUACUGGAUCUUCAGUACCUUUUAACAUAGCUGGAUCUCCAUAUAUCUCACGAGUAAUGGAUUCAAUUGGAUCUUUUGCUUCGGUAAUCAGAAGUUCUUCAGGUAUAUCAAUUAGAGCCUCACCAUCAUUAGGUUCCGCAAUUCUACCAUCACCAACAGCUAGAAGCCAAUCACUGAAUUCUUUGAUGUCUUUUGCUUCUUCUACACUCAAAUCCUUCUUAAGUAGCCUCAUGUUCUUAGUAAGCUUUAGAACCUUACAGUGAUCCCAAAGAUAAGACGCAUUAAGAGCUGCCAUCACAAUCUCAGCCCUGCCUGCACCAGCGAUAACAGGUAGAACUUGUCUAAAAUCACCUCCAAAGACAACAACCUUUCCACCAAAUACUUUGCUAUCUUUAUUACCAAUGAUAUCACAAAAACUCUUAUCUAGAGAUUCAAAACACCACUUGCUCAUCAUAGGUGCCUCAUCCCAUAUAAUAAGAGAAGCUUUCUUUAUCAGAUCAGCAAGAUCAGACUUCGGCUUUAUCCUGCACACUGAACUGCUAUCAGGUGUAAGAGGUAUGGCAAACCUUGAAUGAGCAGUCCUUCCACCUUCCAACAACAAAGAAGCGAUACCACUUGAAGCCACGUUUAGAACUAUAUCUCCUUUAGAUCUAAUAGCAGCUGAAAGUGUUUUCCAAAUAAAAGUUUUUCCUGUACCUCCAAAUCCAUACACAAAAAACACUCCACCUAGAUCAUUGAAUACUGCAGUGGUAAUCUCAUCAUAAACACCUCUCUGCUCCGGUGUCAUAAUAUCUAUCCACUCAGCAUGCUUUUCAGCCAAUGAUGUACGGUCAUACCUCAUUUCAUCAACAAUCAAACGGUUAGAAUUAUCUAUACCUUCUCUAGUUGGCUUAGGAAAGUUUUGUAUAUCUUCAAGAGUACCUCCAUUAGACAACAUCAUUUUUUCUAGUUCUUGAAGUGUGUAGUUCCUAAUUUCUGCCUCUGUCAGAUUCAAAUCUGCAUAUAAAAUAAAUGGCAAUGUCAAGAAAAAAAUAGAAUCAUUGCUUAUUUAACUGAGAAAAUGGAUAUGAUAUAACUUAAGCAAUUUCAUUAUUUAUCUCACCUUGAUUGUCAAACUCAUUUCUCUUCUUCUGUUGAAUAUCUUCUGCUAGCAAAUGCCACGUCUGUUCCCAAACAUAUUCUGGCCUAGAUAGGGAAUCAGAUAGUAGCAACAUAGCGAAGAAAUUCCUCAAAAAACCACCAAAACAGAAUUGACUCGCAUCAACCAGACUGUCAAUGAACACCUGGUCAUCAUCUAGAAUUCCUCGUGCAAAACAUGCUUCUUUGUAAGUUGGAUAGACAACACCAUUAUAUGUUUUAAUGUCAUCAAAACAUGUAGGACCUCUGACGAUGUUAAGAAGGACUCGUAGAAAAUAUUCAUCUUCUAGCUUCCUGGGAACAUAAUUAAUCCGACCUAAGGACCAUCCUCUAGACCUCUUAUUCCACAGCUUAUUAGUUCCAUCCCAUGUAAAAUAUGCAGGUAUCUCUGCAUAUAGGAGUUCUCGAGCACGCUUUCCAUUUUUUCCAAUUCCAUCAUUCCUAUUCAAUGUUAGCCAUGCCAUGAAUUGAGAAUCUCGAUUGAGAAUUCUGUCCAAAACAUCUGAUAUCACCUCUUUUCCUUUAAAAUAAGCUGGUUGCUUUCCUUCUACAUGAAAAGAUAGCUUCAGAACAGGUGUUGAUUUAUGCUGUAUCGGAAACUUAAAAAUUCUCCAAAUUGCUUCAGAUGCUGACACAUAUCUACAAUUUUGAAUAAUAAACAAAUCCAUUUCAGGAUCCAGACUGACCAAUCACAGAAAUAAACUGAGAAAGAGCAAAAUUAGGAUACAAUACCUGCAAUCAAAAUAAUCUUUUAUUUCAUUCUUCUUUUUCUCCUCUGGUAAUGGUUCUGAUCCAUUAGCUGUUUGAUUUACGUGUGAGCCAUUAUCUGUUGGUGGUGGCUUGACAGGCUCCACAACAAAUGCUAACUUAUCUGGGCCUUUAUUUAUAUACUUGAAUAAGUAUUUAAUAGACCCAGUUUGAUUACACCAUUCAACGUUAAUGUGAGCACCAUACCUAACUGAUAGUUUUUUAUUGUAUGGAACGACAUACCUAUUAUCACAUUUAAUUCCACAUUUCUCAACAUAGUGGUCAGAGCGCCUUCUUCUAUAGAUAGGAAAACCAUCAGCGCCUACCCUGGUGAUAUCCUCAAAUUUUUUAGGAUACGAUUUAGAACACUGGCCAUCCACCAUACAUGGAGAACUCAUAUUUGCUGCACCACAUGGGCCAUGAAUCAUUGAAUUACUAACAACCUCAUAAAGCUCUGGUUCUGUUUCUUUAUCUGGAAUCUCAGCAGAUAUCAUCCUGUCAAUAUCGCUUGCUGUUGGAAGUUUGCUUUUAGCAUCCAUGAAUAAAAGAAUGUGAGCAUGUGGAAGGCCUCUUUUCUGGAAUUCUACAGUAUACAUAGCUGCAUAACAUAGAAUAUAGUGUGAAAAUAUUGAAAUAGUCUCAGUUUAUUGUCACAGAAUUGGAAGUAGUCAGACAACUUACAUGCGACAGUCUUUCCAAGCAUCUUCUUUUCUGUUAGAUCGUUCAUCAGAGAAUCCAACUUGAUUUUGAAUAUCCUAGCAACAAUGUCUGGCCUAUCCUCAGCAGUUAACCCUCUAGCUGUGACAUAUCUUGUUAUCUCAGGCCACUUAGGGUUACAUGUAAACGUGAUGAAUAAAUCCGGGAAACCAUAAUGUUUACAUAUGGCCAUAGCAUCAUAAUAACUCUGAACCAUAUACCUUGGACCACCAGUAAAAGAUGCUGGAAUCAAAAUCUGAUUUCCUUCUUCUUCCAUAUUUGUUACACCAGAGUCAGCAGCUUCUUUUAGUGAGUUUGCAUUCUCACAUCUAAGCUUAGACUGAUUGAACCUUAUGUAGGAUAGACGAUUUGAUUCAAUAGUGGUGUAAGCGUCACAAAGAAACUGCUGAAACAACCUCUUCGACAGUAGAAGAGUAUGGCACUCACCUGGCCUCUCCUGAAUACGGAAUGCAAACCACUGACGCAUACUAAUACACUUAUUCUUCUUCUGGUUAUUACCCUUAUAACAUUUCUCUAUACCUGGGGUGUAACCAUCUUCACCAUAGCAGAAAAUCAGAGGAUACUGAAGAGCCAGAUAAGAAAUAUGAAUCUGGCUAAUCCUGGUUAGGUGGCCUGUAGUCCUUUCUUGAAGAACUAUAUCACGGUUUGGCAUACCUUCUGUAAAGUCUCCUGGGAUUAACGCUGCAACCUCCGAAGUCGUAGGCAUGCUGUAAGUCCUUCCAUCAGCACCUUUACGACCAGAGCAUAUCCUCAUAUGAAAUGGUUGGGGAUUAACUACCCCAAAUCUUUCCUUGGCAAUUCUAAAAUUCUUGACAUAAGGAUUAACUUCAUUGAGCAUUUUCAUAAUGGCUUCAAUUGUCUCUUUGUUCAGUAUAUCCUUGCUUCCUCUUCUAGAUGAUUCUUUCCCCUUGCUACAUUAAAAAAAAAAAAGAUGCCCAUGAUUGAGUAUACCACAACAUAGAAAUACAUAAGAAUUGAAUAAGCCUGUUAAGUAGAAAUAAUACUAACCCAAUAACAGUUGCUCUGUUAUCUACUUCAUUCUCAGUAUCUACUAUAUAGAGUUGUGAAUACUUCGCAUAAUCACCUUCUGCAGGUUUCAAACUGCCUAUCAAAUGAUAGUUACCUCCUUGUAAACGAAACAUGCUUGGACCUUUACCCUUAGGUAUAGACUUAUCUACUUUCCCACCUAGUGAGGUCAUUGCGAAAACCAUAUUCCAUAUUCUCAAGUGCUUUCUGUAAUUCCUACUUUGAGGAUCUUUCCCAGUCAGAAGUUUCUUGAUCAAUUCUGGUGACUCUUUAAGAAAAGGCAGCUUAACAGAACCUUGACCACAACAUAGUGUAAAUGUAGGCUCUGUCGUUUUAACUUUUUUGUUUAUUCUUUCAGCAUUCCACAUCAAUGCACCACAAUACUUACACGAGUAAGUAGGGUCACCAUGAUCAAGAUAAGCUGAAAAACAUAAAUAUGUUUCUCAUAAGUUUCAUAUUCAGAAUUACCAAAAAUUAAAAAAAGUACUGGGAAGGGAUAGAAAAUUUACUUAUUGGUUUGUUUUUCUUUUUUGAUUUUCUUUUCUUUUUUCUUUUCGGAGGCACAUUUCCUUCAUGUGUUUCUUGCUGAACAAACUCAAUAGAUGAUCUUGCCAAAUCAUUGGUAUGAGAUGAGACUUCAGUUAUGUGUGACAUCAUUUCAAUCUGUUCCUCGUCAGAAACUGACAUUUCAUUGUUAUCGACUACUUCAUCUUCACCUUCACUGCAACUAAGAUCAUAGCUUUGAGCUAGUGUCUCAUCUUCACUGACAUUACCAAACUCAGGAUCAUCAUACAUUUCAUCAUCUUGGCUAUAAUCACUAUCUUCAUUAUCUAUUACUUGAGUUGUAUUCUGACCUUGAGAAUACAAAACAGGAAAAUAGGUUAAGACAUGCCUCUUAAUUACAUUUUGUUUCCAAGCGAAAAACAAUACAGUAAAGACUGUUACCUUUAGAUGAAGAAGAGGUAUCUGCAUUUGUAAAAUCAAUAUCUAAGUUUUUCCUUGGCAAAUUUAUUCUAUGAGAAACAAAGCUUGAUGUCUGGAGGUUGGUUAUACAUGAUGGAUUUCCAGUGUAUUGAACACCUACAACAGAUAUUAAACUUAUUACUUAUACAAUAUACUUCUCUAUUUAAAACAUUAUCAUACCAUAAUUGUUGUAAAAAUUAUUCAUAUGUGGAAUUUAAUUAAUCUAACCACCUAUUCUCUUUGGUGUUACAGAAGGUGGAGGCAUUAUUGGAGUUGUAGGUGUUCUGCUAAAAAGACUCUGGCUUGUAUUAGUCAUGGCGCUUAAUCCAGAUGGAGUUAACAAUGGGUUAGGUCUGGUGUAAGGAGAGCAAGGUUUGGACAUUUUUCCACGAAGUGAACCUGUUUUAAAACUCAUCAAGAUUUAGAGAUAAAGGUAUUUUUUAUUUAUCUUUGAUGAGAAUGAAAACAAAAUAAUUGUAAAUGAAAACUUGUCUAUAGAAACUAACCUUGAUUCUUACUGUUCUGUUUUGCAGAUGAAGAUGUAUUAGCAUCUGCAGAGUUCUCAAUGGGGCUAACUUGUGGGUCUGGAAGGUUAGUAAUAUCUCUAAAAGCAC
rnacentral:lncRNA from 1 species